rnacentral:rRNA from 1 species
AUACGGAGGGUGCAAGCGUUAAUCGGAAUUACUGGGCGUAAAGCGCACGCAGGCGGUUUGUUAAGUAAGAUGUGAAAUCCCCGGGCUCCACCUGGGAACUGCAUCUGAUACUGGCAAGCUUGAGUCUCGGAGAGGGGGGUAGAAUUCCAAGUGUAGCGGUGUAAAGUGUAGGGAUCUGGAGGAAUACCGGUGGCGAAGGCGGCCCCCUGGACAAAGACUGACGCUCAGGUGCGAAAGCGUGGGGAGCAAACAGGAUUAGAUACCCUGGUAGUCCACGCCGUAAACGAUGUCGACUUGGAGGUUGUGCCCUUGAGGCGUGGCUUCCGGAGCUAACGCGUUAAGUCGACCGCCUGGGGAGUACGGCCGCAAGGUUAAAACUCAAAUGAAUUGACGGGG